UGGGGAAUUUUGGACAAUGGGCGAAAGCCUGAUCCAGCAAUGCCGCGUGUGUGAAGAAGGCCUUCGGGUUGUAAAGCACUUUUGUCCGGAAAGAAAUCCUUGGCUCUAAUACAGUCGGGGGAUGACGGUACCGGAAGAAUAAGCACCGGCUAACUACGUGCCAGCAGCCGCGGUAAUACGUAGGGUGCAAGCGUUAAUCGGAAUUACUGGGCGUAAAGCGUGCGCAGGCGGUUUGCUAAGACCGAUGUGAAAUCCCCGGGCUCAACCUGGGAACUGCAUUGGUGACUGGCAGGCUAGAGUAUGGCAGAGGGGGGUAGAAUUCCACGUGUAGCAGUGAAAUGCGUAGAGAUGUGGAGGAAUACCGAUGGCGAAGGCAGCCCCCUGGCAAGUACUGACGCUCAUGCACGAAAGCGUGGGGAGCAAACAGGAUUAGAUACCCUGGUAGUCCACGCCCUAAACGAUGUCAACUAGUUGUUGGGGAUUCAUUUCCUUAGUAACGUAGCUAACGCGUGAAGUUGACCGCCUGGGGAGUACGGUCGCAAGAUUAAAACUCAAAUGAAUUGACGGGGUCAU
rnacentral:rRNA from 1 species